UACAGAGGGGGGCAAGCGUUGUUCGGAAUUACUGGGCGUAAAGGGCGCGUAGGCGGCCCCGCUAAGUCGAACGUGAAAAUCCCCCGAGCUCAACUCGGGAACUGCGUCCGAUACUGGUGGGCUUGAAUCCGGGAGAGGGAUGCGGAAUUCCAGGUGUAGCGGUGAAAUGCGUAGAUAUCUGGAGGAACACCGGUGGCGAAGGCGGCAUCCUGGACCGGCAUUGACGCUGAGGCGCGAAAAGCUAGGGGGAGCAAACGGGG
rnacentral:rRNA from 1 species